rnacentral:rRNA from 1 species
UACAGAGGGGGCAAGCGUUGUUCGGAAUUACUGGGCGUAAAGGGCGCGUAGGCGGCCUGCUAAGUCGAACGUGAAAUCCCCGGGCUCAACCCGGGAACUGCGUCCGAUACUGACAGGCUCGAAUCCGGGAGAGGGAUGUGGAAUUCCAGGUGUAGCGGUGAAAUGCGUAGAUAUCUGGAGGAAUACCGGUGGCGAAGGCGGCAUCCUGGACCAUUACUGACGCUGAGGCGCGAAAGCUAGGGGAGCAAACGGG